GAUGAACGCUAGCGGCAGGCUUAACACAUGCAAGUCGAGGGGCAGCGCGGGAUAGCAAUAUCCUGGCGGCGACCGGCGGAAGGGUGCGUAACGCGUGAGCGACAUGCCCGUUGCCCGGGGACAACCGGUGGAAACGCCGACUAAUCCCCGAUGGGAUACGAUGCUUCAUGGCACUGUAUUGAAAGUUACGGCGGCGACGGAUUGGCUCGCGUCCGAUUAGCUGGUUGGCGGGGUAACGGCCCACCAAGGCUGCGAUCGGUAGGGGUUCUGAGAGGAAGGCCCCCCACAAUGGGACUGAGACACGGCCCAUACUCCUACGGGAGGCAGCAGUGAGGAAUAUUGGUCAAUGGGCGGAAGCCUGAACCAGCCAUGCCGCGUGCGGGAAGGAGGCCCUAUGGGCUGUGAACCGCUUUUGCCUGGGGGCAAUAAGGGCGUCGCGCACGUCCGAUGAGAGUACCAGGCGAAUAAGCAUCGGCUAACUCCGUG
rnacentral:rRNA from 1 species